UACGUAUGGUGCAAGCGUUAUCCGGAUUUACUGGGUGUAAAGGGAGCGCAGGCGGCACGGCAAGCCUGAUGUGAAAGCCCGCGGCCCAACCGCGGGACUGCAUUGGGAACUACCGGGCUGGAGUCCCGGAGAGGUAGGCGGAAUUCCUAGUGUAGCGGUGAAAUGCGUAGAUAUUAGGAGGAACACCAGUGGCGAAGGCGGCCUACUGGACGGUGACUGACGCUGAGGCUCGAAAGCGUGGGGAGCAAACAGG
rnacentral:rRNA from 1 species